GAUGAAGAACGCAGCGAAAUGCGAUAAGUAAUGUGAAUUGCAGAAUUCAGUGAAUCAUCGAAUCUUUGAACGCACAUUGCGCCCGUCAGUAUUCUGGCGGGCAUGCCUGUUCGAGCGUCAUUACGCCCCUCAAGUCCCCUGUGGACUUGGUGUUGGGGAUCGGCGAGGCUGGUUUUCCAGCACAGCCGUCCCUUAAAUUAAUUGGCGGUCUCGCCGUGGCCCUCCUCUGCGCAGUAGUAAAACACUCGCAACAGGAGCCCGGCGCGGUCCACUGCCGAAAAACCCCCCAACUUUUUAUAGUUGACCUCGAAUCAGGUAGGACUACCCGCUGAACUUAAGCAUAUCAAUAAGCGGAGGA
rnacentral:misc_RNA from 1 species